rnacentral:rRNA from 1 species
AACGCUAGCUACAGGCUUAACACAUGCAAGUCGCGGGGCAGCGGGAGUGAAGCUUGCUUCACUUGCCGGCGACCGGCGCACGGGUGAGUAACGCGUAUCCAACCUUCCCAUAUCCACGGGAUAGCCUGCCGAAAGGCAGAUUAAUACCGUAUGUCGUCAUCAGUUGGCAUCAAAUUUUGACGAAAGGUUUAGCGGAUAUGGAUGGGGAUGCGUCCGAUUAGGUAGUCGGCGGGGUAACGGCCCACCGAGCCGUCGAUCGGUAGGGGUUCUGAGAGGAAGGUCCCCCACAUUGGAACUGAGACACGGUCCAAACUCCUACGGGAGGCAGCAGUGAGGAAUAUUGGUCAAUGGACGUAAGUCUGAACCCGCCAAGUAGCGUGCAGGACGACGGCCCUAUGGGUUGUAAACUGCUUUAGUGCGGGAAUAAAGUCAGGGACGUGUCCCUGAUUGCAGGUACCGCAAGAAUAAGGACCGGCUAAUUCCGUGCCAGCAGCCGCGGUAAUACGGAAGGUCCGGGCGUUAUCCGGAUUUAUUGGGUUUAAAGGGAGCGUAGGCUGUUUAUUAAGCGUGUUGUGAAAAACCCGUGCUCAACAUGGGUCGUGCAGCGCGAACUGGUGAACUUGAGUGCGGAUGCGGUAUGCGGAAUUUGUGGUGUAGCGGUGAAAUGCUUAGAUAUCACGAAGAACUCCGAUUG